rnacentral:rRNA from 1 species
GACGAACGCUGGCGGCGUGCUUAACACAUGCAAGUCGAGCGGAAAGGCCCUUCGGGGUACUCGAGCGGCGAACGGGUGAGUAACACGUGAGUAACCUGCCCCAGACUUUGGGAUAACCCUCGGAAACGGGGGCUAAUACCGGAUACGACACAGCUUCGCAUGGGGUCUGUGUGGAAAGUUUUUCGGUUUGGGAUGGGCUCGCGGCCUAUCAGCUUGUUGGUGGGGUGAUGGCCUACCAAGGCGACGACGGGUAGCCGGCCUGAGAGGGCGACCGGCCACAAUGGGACUGAGACACGGCCCAGACUCCUACGGGAGGCAGCAGUGGGGAAUAUUGCACAAUGGGCGGAAGCCUGAGGCGGCGACGCCGCGUGAGGGAUGACGGCCUUCGGGUUGUAAACCUCUUUCAGCAGGGACGAAGCGUAAGUGACGGUACCUGCAGAAGAAGCGCCGGCCAACUACGUG